GUUUGAUUAGCCCCGCCCCCUGGACAGUCAGCAGCAGCUUUGUCCCCCAGGUCACCUGAAGUUCUGCCAAUUCAGCUGCUAAUAAACAUGCUGCAUGCAAACGGCUGGUGGUGGACGGCAGGGACAUGGAGGGCCCUGAGUUAGGGGGCCCUGGGAGAACAUAUUCCCCCCCUCCCCUUAAUCCGGAUCUGGUAGUGUGAACUUUGUGAGGUGUUCUGCAGCGGCUGUGGCCUAGGCUCUAGAGCAGCGGUGGCCAACCCGCGGCUCUCGUGCCGCAUGCGGCUCUUUCUUUAUUGAGCUGCGGCUCCUGCCUCCCGCUCCCUGAUACUGUAUGCGCGGCUCCCACUGACAUUGACAGCCUCACAGAGCCGGCCAUUGCCUACGGCAUCUGCUCUUUUGAACAAGCUGCAGUGGUUCCCUGUGUGCUACGGCACCCAGGUGUGCCGCUGAGAACUUACAGAGGUGCUGCGGCUGGUUGGUCGGGUGUCAGCAGCUGUGAAGAAGGGUCACGUGAGCUGGUAGCUGCUGGUGUGGGUAGCACUGUGUGCGCGGUGUCCCGAGAGCGGAAGUAGGAGCUUGGGGGAUUCUCUCAUGUAGCUGUUGUCUGGCGCUGCCACGGCAAGCAGCAGCGGGGUGAAGGAGAGGAAGGUCUCCCUGGGGAAGAAGCUAUUCGGGCAGGACGGAGGUUAGUCUGCACAUUAUCCCACCUCAGCAAUGAGUAGGAGGCCGCCGCCUUUACCCGGGGACAAGUCAUGCUCCGCAGCCAGCCGGCCUCCCUGCAGCUCUCAUCUCCCAGCCCCAGUGUGUUCGUCAAGUCCGGCCUCCGCAGCCACGGCAACACCUGCAUCAUUAACACCGCAGCCAGGACCGCAAGGAGGUGACUAGCCAAGAUCCUGCGCUCACUAUGGACCCUGGAGUACACUACCCAGCACAGUCGCGAGUUCAAGCACAAGCCUGGAGUUGGUCGUUGGUGGAUUUUUGUAGCAGAGCACAUUCUAGCAAGUCUCCUGUUACAAAUGGCAUCUGAACAAGGAACCUUCUGCUAGUCGUGUCACACGUGGCAGAGGACCCAACAGCCGCAAGGUAGCGGCACACAUACCAGCGAACUCCAGACCAAGCUGAACUCGUGGGCAUCAGUACCAGACCAAGGGUGUUGUGAGUAGUGGUUAAACUCAACCCCACAAGGGUCCAGCUGAUGUCUGAGCGUGCUGAUUGGAGCUUGGGUGUUUAAAAAAGCUACUUCCUGCAACUAUUGACAUCCUGAUUUAUACCUUGAAAAAGACCCCAGUAGUGGUGGAAACGCGUCGGUGUGGCCCCUGCAGCUGAGAGACAGCAAUAAAACUGGUCACAAGAGAUCCUGCAGGUUUUGCGGUGGUACAAUCCGGAAGUUCCACUUGGAAAAAGUCAUGCUGUUUAUGAACUGUUUGGCCACAGUUCUUAUUAUCCGGUAAUUGCAUGUUACAUAUGCUAGAAGGAGACCUACUGUAUGUUUUUAUGCGAUGUCAAGGAUGCUCA